CAGGCUACACUCAGCUGGGCAUUUGCUGGAUAUAUGUAUGAACAAUGUGGGAUGGGGUCAACUGGAGCCGACAAAAGGGUACCAUUUCCCUGACGGGUAUGCAUUAUAAGACUUGUCAUAUUUGAUAUUCUAUUUUAUAUAUAUAUAUAUAUAUAUAUAUAUAGAGUAAGUUCUGUGCGAGUUAUAUCAUAUGGCUGAUAGAGUGUAAUGUGUGCAUUUCUGUGUUUUUACAACUUCUUUCAAUUGAUAUCUUGAAUUGGAAACUAAUAACUUUACGCUGCACUUAAUAGUUUGCAAAAGAAGCAAUACAUGAUAGGUAGAAUUGACAGGAGCUACCUUCUGUUUUCAUCUGUUACCUGCCUUUGAAACCCAAGCCUCAGGGAUCUUUAUUUUGCUUCUUAGUUUGGUAACACAAAGAACAUUUCCAAAGAAAAGAAGAAUGACAUCGAGGUGACAUCUGAAUAUGAUGGUAAUUACCAAGGAGUAUUGAUUGGCUCUUAACAUAACAUAAAGUUAUUAUAUAUUUACUCUCAUUAGGUGCAGUUUACUCUUCAAUUGGUCUAGAAACUUUAGAUUUUUCUCAAGGAGACGGCUCGAAGAUGGCAUUUCAUCUAAAUGUUAUGCACUAUAAGUUUUCCUUAAACUGCUAUAACGGGGAUUAUGUUAUGGGUUGAACGAUAAUUCCUAAAUUGGAAAGCAGUAAUAAAUGAAAGAUAAAUAAAAAAUGAACAUAGAACACAGUUAUAGUACUUCACCCUCAAUGUGAGAGCUAUGUCCAUUUGCCAUUUUUUUAGAUUUUUUUUACUAUAGCGAAAGGAUUUAAGCUUAUCUUUCUCACACCUCUAUAUCUUAUCUUAUGAAAACUGGCUUAUUCAGAUUCCUUUAUAUUCUGUAUGAAACUAGAGCAACCUAAUACAGAUAUAAGAAUGUUCCAAUGUAUUCAUAUAAUAAAAUUCACGGUCUAUGGGACAAGUGAACAGUAUUAUUAGGCUCUAUACUCCAACAUGUUCACCCUUAAAUGAUAGAUGCUCUCUCCUUGGAACACUUGAUGAGGUGUGCUCUAGGAAAGGGACAAGAGAGUAUUGAUAUCUGACUAGUCCGGUGGGACAGGAUAGAGCUAGCACUUAAGUCUCUGUUGUGGCAACCGACCACUUUGUUAACUUAAUUUCUAAGUCAUGUUAUAAUGGUAAUUUCAUCUAGUGAUGGUGUUGUCAAUAAAAGAUGGAUGCACUCUAUUUAUUUGUAUGAGUUGUGUCUUAAACUUGGCCAUUGUAAAUAUCAAAUCUUUUCAAGCCAUUCGUAGAAUAUAAAGGUGUGGUUUCACAGAAUGAAUUGCAAACCAAGCAAAAAGAUCUGGAAGUAGAAGCUAACAAUCUAAUUUCCAAGGGAGGGAAGGUAUGCA
rnacentral:lncRNA from 1 species